GCAGUCGACGGACCCUUCGGGGUUAGUGGCGGACGGGUGAGUAACACGUGGGAACGUGCCUUUAGGUUCGGAAUAGCUCCUGGAAACGGGUGGUAAUGCCGAAUGUGCCCUUCGGGGGAAAGAUUUAUCGCCUUUAGAGCGGCCCGCGUCUGAUUAGCUAGUUGGUGAGGUAAUGGCUCACCAAGGCGACGAUCAGUAGCUGGUCUGAGAGGAUGACCAGCCACAUUGGGACUGAGACACGGCCCAAACUCCUACGGGAGGCAGCAGUGGGGAAUCUUGCGCAAUGGGCGAAAGCCUGACGCAGCCAUGCCGCGUGAAUGAUGAAGGUCUUAGGAUUGUAAAAUUCUUUCACCGGGGACGAUAAUGACGGUACCCGGAGAAGAAGCCCCGGCUAACUUCGUGCCAGCAGCCGCGGUAAUACGAAGGGGGCUAGCGUUGCUCGGAAUUACUGGGCGUAAAGGGCGCGUAGGCGGACAUUUAAGUCAGGGGUGAAAUCCCAGAGCUCAACUCUGGAACUGCCUUUGAUACUGGGUGUCUUGAGUGUGAGAGAGGUAUGUGGAACUCCGAGUGU
rnacentral:rRNA from 1 species